UGCCAGCGAGUCAUGUCGGGCACUCUAAGGGGACUGCCCCGGAUAACGGGGAGGAAGGUGGGGAUGACGUCAAGUCAGCAUGGCCUUUAUGUCCAGGGCUACACACGUGCUACAAUGGGUGGUACAGAGGGUUGCAAGACCGCGAGGUGGAGCUAAUCCCUAAAGCCACUCUCAGUUCGGAUCGCAGGCUGCAAUUCGCCUGCGUGAAGUUGGAAUCGCUAGUAAUCGCGGAUCAGCAAUGCCGCGGUGAAUACGUUCUCGGGCCUUGUACACACCGCCCGUCACAUCACGAAAGUUGGUCAUGCCCGAAGUCGCCGUGCUAACCCUUCGGGGAGGCAGGUGCCUAAGGUGUGGUCGAUGAUUGGGGUG
rnacentral:rRNA from 1 species